AGAACGAACGCUGGCGGCGUGCCUAACACAUGCAAGUCCAACGUGAAAGGGGAGCAAUCCCCCGGUAGGGUGGCAAACGGGUGAGUAAGACAUGGGUGAUCUACCUUAGGGAUGGGGAUAUCCUUCCGAAAGGAGGGGCAAUACCGAAUAUUGUCCGGAGCCGUGAAGGGUUCCGGGGAAAGGGAGGCCUCUGACACAAGCUUUCGCCUUAAGAUGAGCCCAUGGCCCAUCAGCUAGUUGGUAGGGUAAAGGCCUACCAAGGCUACGACGGGUCGCUGGUCUGAGAGGACGAUCAGCCACACUGGGACUGAGACACGGCCCAGACUCCUACGGGAGGCAGC
rnacentral:rRNA from 1 species